UUUUAUUAUAUUUAUGUGCGUGCAUUUAGUACUUAUCACUAUUCAAUGACAUGUGAUCUCAUUCGGUUACUUGUGCAGCAAGUGUCGGUUUUGGACUUUUAUAAUUAUUGGGCGAUGGGACCAGUUUGGUUGUUGCUGGGUUAGACUUGCUUCUAGGAUCAUGUCUUUUAUCAGGACUGAGACACUUCAAUACGGACCGAGGCACUUCAAUCCGGAUUGGUUCCCUUGUCAGGACCAUAUUUGCCGGAGUGGUUGAGCUAUUCUCACUUGAAAUGAGUUUCUUACCCUGCUUGGUGGGAUUGAGUCGUCUGAAUCCGGGAUGGAUUUGGUCCCGAACCUUAAGAAUAUACUUAAAUUGGAUUCUAUCCUAUCACUGCCUGUUAGUAAGACACAUCCGGAUUCGUUUGUAACACUAACCAGGCUGACAUGGAGAUUAAUAAAACCAUAACGGUCACGUAGUCUAUAUUCAGUUCGAUCUAAUCUUGUGCCUUGGAGAUCGAUCGGUUAAUUCUAGUUUUUAAUGAUCAAAGACUGAAAUUGGGCCUAUUAUCUUAGGUGGCCAUACAUGUAGCUAGAGUUCUGGACCGCAAAUUAAUCCAUAUUACACGCAGACACUGAAGUCCAAGCAAUGUGUACAUGGUCUAAAAUAAAGUAGCCCUGCCCAGCAGCCCAGCAGCAAGCUCGCCUACUGUUGCAUGACUUGCAUCAGUGAUUCGUAAAUCUACAUUGUCAUUGACCAUUAAAGCAAACCUUGUAGUUGAUUAUUUAGGUCAAAUAGUAAACAUAAUAAUAACUGGAACAGGACUGUCUAUCUCUCUUUCUCACUCCGGGUAUUUUUUAACUUUUUUUUAAAAGUGAAAUAUUUGAGUUGUUCAAUAAAAAUUCAGGUUUUCGAUAUAAUGGGGCGUACUAUAAUACAUCUGGGUGCCUUGAAAGGUAAUUU
rnacentral:lncRNA from 1 species